GAUGGACGCUGGCGGCGUGCUUAACACAUGCAAGUCGAACGAGAGCUUGCUCUUGUAACUUAGUGGCGAACGGGUGAGUAACGCGUGAGAAACCUGCCUUUCAGUGGGGGACAACAGUUGGAAACGACUGCUAAUACCGCAUAAUGUAUUCGGACGGCAUCGUCUGGAUACCAAAGCUUUAUGUGCUGAAAGAUGGCUUCGCGUCUGAUUAGCUAGAUGGCGGGGUAACGGCUCACCAAGGCGACGAUCAGUAGCCGGUCUGAGAGGAUGAACGGCCACAUUGGGACUGAGAUACGGCCCAGACUCCUACGGGAGGCAGCAGUGGGGAAUAUUGGGCAAUGGGGGAAACCCUGACCCAGCAACGCCGCGUGAAGGAAGAAGGCCUUCGGGUUGUAAACUUCUUUUACCAGGGACGAAGAACGUGACGGUACCUGGAGAAAAAGCAACGGCUAACUACGUG
rnacentral:rRNA from 1 species